GUGGUGCUGGCAGUGCUGCUCCUGCUCACACUGGUGGUCUUCACCACUGCCUUGAUGCACUUGAGGAAGAGGAGUGCCCUCACCCUGGGGACCCCAGUGCCACUCCUGGUGACCCACAGCAGCCAGGGUCACGACAUGCCCUUGGAGACUUGCAACAACUACAGGGAGGUACCCACAGGCCUCCCCAAGGAGCCAGACUCCACACCCGCAACCCUUCCCACCACCAAGGACUCCGACUCCUCUGACUCUGACUACGAACACUAUGAUUUCAGCAGCAAGCCACCCGUGGCCCUCUCCACCUUCCACAGUGAGACACCACCCCCCACCCUGGCACCUCC
rnacentral:lncRNA from 1 species